AGCGAACGCUGGCGGCAGGCCUAACACAUGCCAGUCGAACGAACUCUUCGGAGUUAGUGGCGGACGGGUGAGUAACACGUGGGAACGUGCCUUUUGGUUCGGAAUAACUCAGGGAAACUUGUGCUAAUACCGAAUGUGCCCUUCGGGGGAAAGAUUUAUCGCCAUUAGAGCGGCCCGCGUCUGAUUAGCUAGUUGGUGAGGUAACGGCUCACCAAGGCGACGAUCAGUAGCUGGUCUGAGAGGAUGACCAGCCACACUGGGACUGAGACACGGCCCAGACUCCGACGGGGGGCAGCAGUAGGGAGUCUUGCGCAAUGGGCGAAAGCCUGACGCAGCCAUGCCGCGUGAAUGAUGAAGGUCUUAGGAUUGUAAAAUUCUUUCACCGGGGACGAUAAUGACGGUACCCGGAGAAGAAGCCCCGGCUAACUUCGUG
rnacentral:rRNA from 1 species